GCCCAUAUGGCGUAAUGGCAGACGCUGUGGACUUAAAAUCCACUGGAUUCAUUCCGUGCCGGUUCGAGUCCGGCUAUGGGUA
rnacentral:tRNA from 1 species